UGAAUACGAGACGCUAAGGCGUUGAAGUAGUGUAUGUCAUACUUCCAAGAAAAGCUUGCACUGUCAUAGAUAAAAAACGCCUGUACCAUAACCGACACAGGUGGGUAGGUAGAGUAUACUAAGGGGCGCGAGAUAACUCUCUCUAAGGAACUCGGCAAAAUAACUCCGUAACUUCGGGAGAAGGAGUGCCUUAUUUAUAAGGCUGCAAUAACAAGAUCCAAGCAACUGUUUAUCAAAAACACAGGUCUCCGCUAAGUCGUAAGACGAUGUAUGGGGGCUGACGCCUGCCCAGUGCCAGAAGGUUAAAGAAGUUGGUUAGCAAUAGCGAAGCUGAUAACUGAAGCCCUGGUGAACGGCGGCCGUAACGAUAACGGUCCUAAGGUAGCGAAAUUCCUUGUCGGGUAAGUUCCGACCCGCACGAAAGGCGUAAUGAUUUGGAUACUGUCUCGGAGAGGGGCUCGGUGAAAUAGACUUGUCUGUUAAGAUGCGGACUACCUGCACCAGGACAGAAAGACCCUAUGAAGCUUUACUGUAACUUGAAAUUGAAAUUGGACUUUAUUCGCGCAGUAUAGGUGGGAGGCGUUGAUUGUAAUCUUGCGGGAUUAUUGGAGCCAUCAGUGAGAUACCACCCUUGUAAUGUUAGAUUUCUAACUUUGAAUCAUUAUCUGGUCAAAGAACAGUUUCAGGCGGGCAGUUUGACUGGGGCGGUCGCCUCCUAAACGGUAACGGAGGCGUACAAAGGUUUCCUCUGAACGGUUAGAAAUCGUAUCUAGAGUGUAAAGGCAUAAGGAAGCUUGACUGUGAGUCCUACAAGUCGAGCAGGGACGAAAGUCGGUCUUAGUGAUCUGACGGUACUGAGUGGAAAGGCCGUCACUCAACGGAUAAAAGUUACUCUAGGGAUAACAGGCUGAUCUCCCCCAAGAGUUCACAUCGACGGGGAGGUUUAGCACCUUGAUGUCGGCUCAUCGCAUCCUGGGGCGGUAGUACGUCCCAAGGGUUGGGCUGUUCGCCCAUGAAAGCGGUACGCGAGCUGGGUUCAGAACGUCGUGAGACAGUUCGGUCCAUAUCCGGUGUAGGCGUUAGAAUAUUGAGAGGAGCCUUCUUUAGUACGAGAGGACCGAGAAGGACAUACCUCUGGUGUACCAGUUAUCGUGCCAACGGUAAACGCUGGGUAGCUAUGUAUGGAGUGGAUAACCGCUGAAAGCAUCUAAGUGGGAAGCCCACCUCAAGAUAAGUAUUCUCA
rnacentral:rRNA from 1 species